AUACUUAAUAUGAGUAGUUGUGUAGUAUACAAGUUUUCCAAAUUUUGAUACUUUUUUUCUGACUCAUAUUCUUUAAAAUAUUACAUAAUAAAUAAUAAAUAAUAAGAUUUAAUUCUCACAAUAAUUUUUAUAAAACGAGUACUAUAUAAAGAACUUGAAGUUUCCUAUGCAUAAUAUUGAGAACAAAAGAUAAUAAUAGAAUACAAAGACAAAAUCUUCAGAAAAAAUGACAAUGCACAUUUGCAAACUUUUUCUCAUGGGAGUUUUAUGCAUUACAUUGCUCCUAUCUUUUGGAGCAAGUGAUAAUGAUAUAGAGGAACCUGAACCAUGCAUUGGUGGGGAAUGUUUUGGUUGCGCUUUAAGAUGUUUUAAGUUUGGAUAUCCGAAAGGUGAAUGUAAUUUGGAAGCCUUAUGUUGUUGUAUUAACUAGUUACUAGUUAUCAUUUUUAAAAUAAAUUACAAUAUUAUAAAUAUUUAAUAAUAUUGAAAAAAAUCAAUAAAUUUUCUUCCAAAAUUUUAUUUUUAUGUUUGAAGCAUACACAUUUGGUGUCUGGUACAUUUGAUGUCUGGUUUGAGCAUAAGUAAAAGUGGAAGACUUGAAAGUAUGAUUUGAUUUCUUCAACUUAAAGACGGUGAAAAAUGGAGUGAAAAUUGUUUUCAUUUAAAUAUUAUAUUCAUGGUUGUAAUUAUAAUUUAUAUUCAAUAAAAUAUUACUAUUUUAUUUUA